ACGGGAGGCAGCAGUGGGGGAUAUUGCACAAUGGGCGCAAGCCUGAUGCAGCGACGCCGCGUGAGUGAAGAAGUAUUUCGGUAUGUAAAGCUCUAUCAGCAGGAAAGAAAAUGACGGUACCUGACUAAGAAGCCCCGGCUAACUACGUGCCAGCAGCCGCGGUAAUACGUAGGGGGCAAGCGUUAUCCGGAUUUACUGGGUGUAAAGGGAGCGUAGACGGCUUUGCAAGUCUGAAGUGAAAUUCCGGGGCUCAACCCCGGAACUGCUUUGGAAACUGUUUAGCUGGAGUAUCGGAGAGGUAAGCGGAAUUCCUAGUGUAGCGGUGAAAUGCGUAGAUAUUAGGAGGAACACCAGUGGCGAAGGCGGCUUACUGGACGAUAACUGACGUUGAGGCUCGAAAGCGUGGGGAGCAAACAGGAUUAGAUACCCUGGUA
rnacentral:rRNA from 1 species